UAAAAAAGCUCGUAGUUGGAUUUGUGGUGUUCCCUGUGGUCCAAUUUUGGUACUUUCGGGGACUGCCAUCCUUGGGUGGAUCCUGUGUGGCAUUAGGUUGUCGCGCAGGGGAUGCCCAUCGUUUACUGUGAAAAAAUUAGAGUGUUCAAAGCAGGCUUACGCCGUUGAAUAUAUUAGCAUGGAAUAAUGAGAUAGGACCUUGGUACUAUUUUGUUGGUUUGCGCACCGAGGUAAUGAUUAAUACGUGACAGUUGUGGGUA
rnacentral:rRNA from 1 species